GCAUUAGUGGUUCAGAGGUAGGAUUCUCGCCUUCCAUGUGGGAGACCCAGGUUCAAUUCCUGGGCCAAUACA
rfam:Loxodonta africana unplaced genomic scaffold scaffold_1, whole genome shotgun sequence.